CAAAUUUGGGUCGCUAUACAUGGUUUCCAUCUAUCUUUAUGAACCUUUGCCCCUCAAUCACUCUAGUUUUUAUCGCGUCCUCUUAGGCGCUUGAGAUUUCCAUCGAUCAGUACAAAUCAUUGUCACAUAGCACCGCUGUCUGCCGUCACGAAACCCGCCGUCACGCAACCGUGAAGGUGAAAUACUGCUGCUGUCUCGCUAUCUGUGGUUCGAAUAUGAGGUUUGCAUACCCGUCAAGGACGAGUCGAGCGAUUAUGUUUUUCUUUUGGCUAAGGGAAUAUGGGAUGAUCUGGGAUUUCAGUGAGGAGCGUUAGGAAGUUGUUGGUCAAGAUUCUUUAUUUCAGUAAUGUAAUAAAUGUAAUUAGGACAUUUUAUUUAAUGUUAUGGAUUGGUUUUUAGUU